AGACUCAGCUGCUUGGUACACGCUUUCGAAGUCUAACAAAUCCAAACGAAGAAAACGGAUCUUGGAAUGUCUAACUUCAUCGUGGAUCUGUUUCAUAACUUUUUGAUACUUUUCCUCGUUCCUACCAGCCAGAUAGACCUUUGCGCCUUUUCUAGCCAACUCGAGGGCAGUUACAUAACCAAUGCCACCUGAAGAUCCUGUGACAAGAGCGACUUUACCCGUAAGAUCGGGAAUAUCGUUAAAGGUCCAUUUGGGUGUAUUGAGACCGGUGUACUCUUU